UACAGAGGUCUCAAGCGUUGUUCGGAUUCAUUGGGCGUAAAGGGUGCGUAGGCGGCGCGGUAAGUCGGGUGUGAAAUCUCGGAGCUUAACUCCGAAACUGCAUUCGAUACUGCCGUGCUUGAGGACUGGAGAGGAGACUGGAAUUUACGGUGUAGCGGUGAAAUGCGUAGAUAUCGUAAGGAAGACCAGUGGCGAAGGCGGGUCUCUGGGCCGUAACUGACGCUGAGGAGCGAAAGCAUGGGGAGCGAACAGG
rnacentral:rRNA from 1 species